GGCAGGGACAUCUCCAAAGGGCUCUGUCCUUUCGGGAGCUUCCCGGAGAUGCUUUACAGCUGCUUUUGCCAAGCGCGGCGCCUGCAAGUGCUGGUGGGGGAGUCAGGUAGGACCGCCCUCCCAGCCCCUAGAAGGUUACAGUCUAAGGAAUGGACCGGGAGGGCACCGGGACAGCGGUAGUAAGCAGCGAUAAUGAAAGACUUCGAUGCUAAUUGUUAGUGAUGCAUUGGGACGCACAUCACGAACGAAGACCUUGAAUCAGGAAGCAGCAACGAGGGUGCAGGUCGUCGAUCUUGCGCUAAGCACACAGACUAGCAUUCUCUCCCCUCCGGCGCUUAGGGCAAGAUCCUUAACUGGCCUGUGCCUCAAGGAUCUCACCUGCAACAUGGAGAUGGUAAUGGUGACUACCUCACAGGACUGUGGUGGGGGUCCUAGGCAGACUCAAAGCAGUGACUCCAACGCAGUGAAAGUAUUGUUUGCUUUUAAUUUUUUAAGUAGGCUCCAACGUGGGGCUUGAACUCACAGCCCUGAGAUUAAGGGGCACAUGCUCUAUGACGGAGCCAGCCAGGCGCCCCUCUGGUAUGAUUAUUAUUAUUGCUGCCUAAGUCGGCUCCGUCUCCUCGUUCUGAUGCGAGAGGGCCUUUCCAGGCGAUUCCCACAGCCUUCCCUCAGCCGCAGCCUUCACAGCUCACACAGCACCUUCACGCGCCACGCAGGGAGUAAGGGGCUAACUUAGGCCCCUCCACCUGCCCCCGCCUCAGGGCUCCCCCAUCUCUCCCCAGUUCCCAUCCAUAGCAGCCCUGCUCCUGAAACCCCUCACGGACCACAAAGCCUUCCAGCUGAGAAUCCCCUUGUGGAGCCAGUCCUGUGAGGGUGUACGGCCCGCCCGACGGCCAGUCCUGCUCCCCGGCCUGCGCCUCUCACCAGGAUUCUUCGCCGGCAAAGGCCUUGGCCGGAGAGGGGCUGCCUGAGGGAAAUCAGAUACGUGACGAUUCUGCCACCGAGAUGUUCGCACAUUGAAGGGAAGGAAGGAGCCACGGCGAGACUGCAGACCGAGAGAUCCAACAUCCGGACAGUGGCCAGAGCACGUGGGCAAACAGAACUCUGACCCGCAAACCAACUUCUUAUCAACAAGAAAACACCAGGCGAUCCACAGGUCACAUUUGUAAGCAGACUAUGUCUAGUAACAAUUCAGAAAGCGAAACACUAACUUUCUGGAACAAUUGGCUCGAAAUGGCCAGCACUGACAACUUCCCCAAGUUUUGUCCAUACUGCAACUUAGGACCAACCAGAGAAAGUCAAAUCCGCACCCCCGGCCAGUCACACAACACGUGCAGCUUCUAGGGACCUGCCUUACAGCUUCCCCCACGCCGCCGACAGCCUCCAGAGAAGGCACAUCAGAAUCCUUUCCUUUUUCCUGCUAUAAAUAAAACUUUCCCACCCCUCUGUCUGCCCUUGAGUCUCUCUGAAAACAAGUGGCCACGGCUGACUCCCUUGCUGUAGCAAGCUUUGAAUAAAUAGCCUUUGCUCUUCCUUUAUUUCCCCAAAACCCAGGAGCGGCAGCUCAGGGAGCGAGGCUCAGACCAUCCUCCGUCCGCACCCGCGGUCCCCCUGGGGUGGAGCUCGGGCCCUCAGACGGCAGAGUUGCUGGCGGGUCCACUGGAAACGCUGAUCAGAUCUUUGGACUCAGCAGAGCGGGAGCUGGAGAAGCCAAAUUGACUCAGAUUAAAUCCCCCAGGCAUAAAAUCACAAAAGAGUUUUUGUUAGAUGCUGAUUGGGAAGGAGGGGCCCCAGAGAUCUGGGAAAAGGGUAGGACAUCUGGGAAUAGAGAAAUGAGGGAGAGGCAGGAAUUUUGCCUGGAACCGGAGCCAGGGAUUGCCUGGAGCUGCUUUGGUGGGAUGGAGAAGCGAGUCCAGAUUCUUAUCUAACCUCCACCAAGAU